rnacentral:rRNA from 1 species
AUACAGAGGGUGCAAGCGUUAUUCGGAAUUACUGGGCGUAAAGCGCGCGUAGGCGGAUGAUUAAGUCAGUUGUGAAAGCCCUGGGCUCAACCUAGGAACUGCAUCUGAUACUGGUCAUCUAGAGUUUAAGAGAGGGAAGUGGAAUUCCAGGUGUAGCAGUGAAAUGCGUAGAUAUCUGGAGGAACAUCAGUGGCGAGGGCGACUUCCUGGCUUAGAACUGACGCUGAGGUGCGAAAGCGUGGGUAGCGAACGGGAUUAGAAACCCUAGUAGUCC